GAAUCCGGAUAGUUCAGAAUUUAGUCAAACAAUGUUAUAAUGCAAAUAACAAAGACAAUGCAAAUUAAAAAUAACAACAAUUAAAGCAUAUAAAGAAGGCGUCAAUUUAACGUUGUUUGGUCAGUAUGACCUACGUCCACAAGCGGAGAAGAGCAAUUUUACUAUAGCAAUAAGAGUACAAAAGAGCGUACAAAAUUAGAGUAAAUACUCUAAUUAAUCCUAAAUACCCCCGAUAGAAUAACCUCACAAGAUCACUCCGAAGAAAAGGAGAUCACACAAGUGUUUCCCAACACUCAACUCUCUUGCAAAAUACUUUCAAUUACUAAAAGAGGAGAAUAAACAAGAAAUGAACAACUCAAAUCUUAUUUUGGUGUGUUUAAGAAAGGAGAGCAGCAGGAGUAUUUAUAGGAGAAAUUGAACUAAGUCUUGCAAGUUUACAAAGGCAAGUUGCCAACUUGAAAGAGAUCUCCACACUUAUUCAAACUUGAUGGCCGAGAAUAAAUCUCUGCCAAGCACACCUUUCUUAUAGGCACAUGCCUAUUUGCCAACUAAGAAUGAGUUGGAUUUUACAAUUAAAAAAAAUCAUCAUUUUCUUGUAAUGCCAAUUAGGCCAUAUUACAAAUCUCCACCUUGGUCUAAUUUUGACCAAUAUAGUAAAUUUGUUUCACAUUGUCCGCAAAAGCCUGAAUGGGCAAAAUCAUUAUUCAUAAAUACCAAUCAAGUUCACGCAAAGCUUGAACUUGACAACUCGAAGAGGUUUUGUGAACAUGUCAGCAUGAUUGUCUCUAGUGUUGAUCUUCUGAACAAACAGUAAUGGUUUCUCGGAUGAAAUGAUACUUUAUAUCAAUGUUCUUCGUCCUCUCAUGAUAUAUCUGAUCUUUAGUCAAGUGAAUGGCACUUUGACUAUCAGAAAAAUGGUAAUACCACCUUGGUGUGAACUGAGUUCCGCAUAUAGACCCUUCAACCAUAAGGCUUCUUUGAUCGCCUCGGUUACUGCCAUAUAUUCUCCUUCGGUAGUAGAUAAAGCUACUACAUGUUGUAAUAUAUCUUUCCAACUAAUAGCGCAAUCACCAAUGCAAAAUAUGUAGCCUGUCAGUGAUCUUCUUUUGUCAAGAUAACCUGCAUAAUCUGAGUCUACAAAACCAACCAAAGUGUUAGUAUUUUUCCCAAAUUCCAGAUAUGUGUUUGAAGUACCUCGCAAGUAUCUGAGAAUCUAUUUCACAGCCUGCCAAUGUGAUUUACCAAGGCAAGCCAUAUACCGGCUUACCACGCUCACUACUUGUAAAAUGUCUGGAUAUGUACAAACCAUUGCAUACAUAAUACUGCCGACUGUACUGGAAUAAGGAAGUUGUGCCAUGUACCUCUCUUCUUCCUCUGACUACGGGGACUGAGCAGCUGAUAAUUUAAAAUGAGCAGCAAGAGGGGUACUAACUGGUUUAGCAUCUUUCAUGCCAAACCUCUCCAAAACUUUCUCCAAGUACUUCUUCUGGGUCCGGAAUAGCCUGUUGGCUUUUCGACCUCUUUUGAUCUCUAUGCCAAGGAUUUUCUUAGCUGCUCCCAAAUUCACUUUUCAGCUGACUUUUCAAAUUGUGAAUUUCUGUUAAAUCCUUAGCAGCAAUGAGCAUGUCAUCAACAUAAAGUAAUAAGUACACAAAUGAACCAUCAUUUAACUUCCGGAAGUAAUACAACUAUCAUACAUACUCCUCGAAUAACCAUGACCCAAUAUAAAUGAAUCAAACCUUUUGUACCAUUGUCUUAGAGACUGCUUUAAUCUGUAUAAGAAUUUCUUCAACAAGCAAACAUGAUCUUCUUUUCUUUCAAUUUCAAAUCCUUCGGGUUGGUGCAUGUAUAUUUGUUCCUCAAGUUCGCCAUGUAAGAAAGUUGUCUUAACAUCAAGUUGUUCUAAUUCCAAAUCAUACAUGGCAACAAAGGCAAGCAAGAUACGAAUAGAGCUAUGUUUAACAACAAGUUAGAAAAUAUUAUUAAAAUCAACACCUUGUACCCGACUAUAGCCCUUUGCAACUAAUCAUGCCUUAUACCUCGCAUCUUCAACCCCUAAUAUGCUAUUCUUUUUCUUGAAGACCCAUUUGCAACCAACAAUUCUUUUUUUCCUGAUGGCAGCGUCACAAUAGACCAAGUACCAUUCUUUUGAAGAGACUCAAUUUCUUCAUUCAUUGCAAUCAGCCACUUGGUUAAGUCAGCACCAGAAAUUGCUUCUGAAUAUUUUGAUGGUUCUCCAAUUUCUUCAGUUUCAUGUGCAACUGAAAAAGCAAAUACAACAUAAUCUUCAAACCUUAAUGGUUGUUUACCUUCUCUUCUUGGUCUAUGUUUGACUAUAGAAUACUCCUCUUCUUCUGGUUCAACUUCAGAAGUCUCAACUUCAUGAAUUUCAGCUUCUGGCUCAACUUCAGGAGUUUCAACUGUAUUUUGCUCCAAAGUUGAUAAGCUUGACUCAGAAGGAAUGCCAAUCUCAACCUACACCAGCUUCUAUGUACUCUUUCCUUUAUCUGUAUUACAAGAACUAGAAGACACUUUUCUAGAAUGUAACAUAGAUGAUUCAUCAAAGGUUACAUCUCUGCUAAUUAUAAAUUUUGGUGUCGUGGGAUCAGGAUACGAUAGUCGGUAUCCUUUCACCCCAGACGCAUACCCAAGGGAAAUGCACUUUUUAGCCCUUGGCUCUAAUUUUCCAUCAUUUAUAUGCAUGUAUGCAGGGCCACCAAAUAUCUUUAAAUCAGAAUAAUUAACAGGAGUACCUGACCACAUUUCCUAUGGAGUCUUAAAGUUCAAAGGUGCAGAAGGAGCUCGGUUGACAAUAUAACAAGCUGUAGAGAUAGCUUCUGCCCAAAAGGCGUUUGUCAAUCCAACAUUUGAAAUCAUGAAACGAGCUCUUUCCAAAAGAGUUCUAUUCAUCCUUUCUGCCACACCAUUUUUUUGAGGUGUCAUUCUCACAGUACGAUAUCGAGCAAUUCCUUCAUUCUUGCAAAAUUCAUUGAAUUCAUCAUUAUAAAAUUUCAAGACAUUAUCUGUUCUAAGCCGCUUAACCUGUUUUCCUAUUUGCUCUUCAAUCAAAACUUUCCAUUGUUUGAAAUUUAAAACAUCACUUUUAUUUUUAAGCAAAUAAACCCAAACUUUCCUUGAAUAAUUAUAAAUAAAAGUUAACAUAUACCUGGCACCACCUUUUGAUGGGGUAUGUGAAGGACCCCAAAGAUCUGAAUGAAUAUAAUCCAAAGUACCUUUUGUUCUAUGAGUCGAUGGAGAUUUAAAGCUGACUUUUUUCUGCCUCCCGAAUACACAAUAUUCACAGAACUCCAUAUUUCCGAUACUUUGGCCACAUAAGAGACCUUAUUUGCUGAGGAUGGAAAGACCUUUUUCCACUCAUAUGCCCCAAUCGCAUAUGCCACAAUUUGGUAAUGUCAGAAUUUGAUUUAUAUAAUGUUGAAACUGCAGCAGCACCUGUAAUAGUAGUUCCCAAUAGAGUAUACAACGUACCGGAUCUGCGUGCUUUCAAGAUCACAAGAGCACUAUGAGAAACUUUCAGAACUCCACCCUCACCUGUGUACUUGCACCCAAGAGAUUCUAGAGUGCCCAAAGAGAUGAGAUUUUUCUUCAAGUCAGGAACAUGUCUAACAUCGGUGAGAGUUCUCACCACCCCAUCGUGCAUUUUGAUUCGGACUGUACCUUUUCCAAUAACUUUGCAGGCAGCAUUGUUUCCCAUCAUGAUAACCCCACCUCCAAUAGAUUCAUAUGUGGUAAAUAAAUCCCGAUUGGGACACAUAUGAUAAGAAUAACCCGAAUCUAAAAUCCACUCAUUGUUAGAUUUGAAACUAUUAUUAGUUACUAAAAAAAUAGUUCCCUCAGUCUCAUUACCAGCUACACUUGCUUCAGCAGUGUCAGUAUUUUUGUGCUCAUUUUUCUUUUGUGUAUGCUUUUCUUUGUUUUUUUAAUUUAAAGCAUUCAAAAAUAAUGUGACAUUUCUUGUGACAAUGUUUGCACAUGACAUUUCUGUAUCUAAAUUUUGACCUUGAUUUAGGUCUCUCACUACUUGAAUCUUUCUUAUUUGAUCUACCUCUUAUGAACAAGCCUUCCCCUUGGUUCCCACUAGUUUCUCCAGUAAUAUCUCUAUCUAUUUGUUCUUUUGAUUUUAAAAUAGAUUUGAUAUCUUUAUAAGAGAUAUUAUCCUUUCCAUAAAGUAUAGUAUCUCUUAUAUGUUUAAAUGACUGGGGUAAGGAAACAAGCAAUAGCACAGCUUGAUCCUCAUCUUUGAUUUUAGCAUUUAUGUUACUUAAAUUCAUAAGAAUAGAAUCAAAAGUAUCAAGAUGCAUAAGUAUAGAGGUACCUUCAGCCAUACGAAAAGUGUAGGGUUUUUGCUUUAGGUAAAGACUGUUUUCUACUAUUCUUUUCAUAUAUAGGGUUUUCAGCUUUUUCCAUAUGCCCUUGGCUGAGCUUUCUGCUGCAACUUCACGUAAAACCUCAUUUGAGAGAUUUAAAAUAAUACAUGUUUUUGCCUAUAAUGGCAAACUCUUCGUCCGUCAUUUUAUCCGGUUUCUUCUCAUUUCCUUGCAGUGCCAAAUCUAAGCCAUCCUUAAUUAGGUUAGCUUCCAUCUUUAAUUUUCACAUUCUGAAGUUUGCACUUCGGUCAAAUUUCUCAACAUAAGACUUUGUUCGAGUCAUUUUGGCUAUUUAAACUAACCCGGUUAGAUCUGGAUCUGAUACUAAUUUGUUAGGAUUGGGAACCCGGGUUAUGCGAAAUUUAGUCAUACAAUGUUAUAAAGCUAAUAACAAAGACAAUGCAAGUUGAAAACAACAACAAUUAAAGCAUAUAAAGAAGAUGCCAAUUUAAUGUGGUUCGGUCAGUGUGACUUACGUCCACAAGCGGAGAAGAGCAAUUUUACUAUAGUAAUAAGAGUACAAAAUAGCGUACAAAAUUAGAGUAAAUACUUUAAUUAAUCCCAAAUACCCCCGAUAGAAUAACCUCACAAGAUCACUCCGAAGAAAA
rnacentral:lncRNA from 1 species